GUCUGGAGGUGGCUCAGUUGGUUAGAGCAUGGUGCUGAUAAUGCCAAGGUCAUGAGUUCGAUUCCCGUAUGGGACA